rnacentral:rRNA from 1 species
UACGUAGGGUGCGAGCGUUGCCCGGAUUUAUUGGGCGUAAAGAGCGUGUAGGCGGCCUGGUAGGUCUGCUGUGAAAACUCGAGGCUCAACCUCGAGAUGUCGGCGGAAACCAUCUGGCUAGAGUCCGGAAGAGGAGAGUGGAAUUCCUGGUGUAGCGGUGAAAUGCGCAGAUAUCAGGAAGAACACCUAUGGCGAAGGCAGCUCUCUGGGACGGUACUGACGCUGAGACGCGAAAGCGUGGGGAGCGAACAGG